AACUAUCCCUUUAAUAGGGGACACAAUCAGGGCUGUAAUAUAAAGCACUACUGUAUCAGGUAACGUGUCCUUCAGAUAACACAAUACUAGAAUGCACUGCAACAAUCACACUGAAACAAAUGAAGCAAGAUAGUAGAUAGUGUCAAGAAAAAUGGUUACAAUAAAUACUUAUGCAACAUUUUGAUAAGAAUAGUUAGAAAAUCGUAAUAUAUCUCAGAAGCAAGAAUGCUCUUGCAUCUGGGUAAUUACUGCUUUGUUUUUUGAUUUUCAUAUAAAAAAAUUUGAUUGCCAGUGUAAUAUUGCUUUUUUUUUUUUUACAACACUUAAGUCAUUAAUGAGUAACUUACAUUUUUGACACAAUGUUUAUGACUACUUCAAAAAAAAAAAAUUCUCAAAAAGUUUCAACGAAAGCCAGAGGACAAUGUUCCGCUGCUCUGCUUUUUCAAAAACAUGCAUUAUUGAUAAUCUAGCAGUGUUAUUUUUCUUGUCAUUUUUUCAUAUUUGUAUUUGUCAACAUGAUUUAAUUAAAAUAUUUUCAUUAUCGCCAUGACGGACACGCCUCACCCCCCACACAAGGCCUAUCCCUGAGUACUCGUUUUUGAGAUCUAUCACUGGAAACGAAAAAUUGACAAAAAUGGCCAUCCCUAUUAUGAACUGACAUGAGCUCAUAUAUUAUUAAAGCCUUUAAUGUCACAGUUUCAGAACUUUUAAAGCAGGGGUGCCCAAUCCUGCUCUUGGAGAGCCAAUGUCCUGCAGCGUUUAGCUCCAACCAGCUCCAACACACUCGCCUGGAAGUUUCUAGUGAGUGUGAAGACCUUGAUUAGCUGCUUUAAGUGUGUUUAAUCAGGGUCGGAGCUAAACUAUGCAAGACAAUUGACCUUGAAGAGAGGUUUUGGUUUUGGAUAACCCUGGUUUAAAGUCUUGCAUGGGCUCAGUCUUCCACAUAUUCUGUAGCUUAUAAUGACAAAUGAAUUUAGUUUUGAACACUGCAAAGAUAAACUGCACCUUAUCUCUACACAUACUGUUUUUAAAGUAAAAUAAUGACAGCCUUGGUGAGAGAUUUUCCCUCAAAACAUUAAAACAUCUUAAUUUCAAACUUUUGUCAAUUUUAAUAUAUAUAUGGUCCAUAUUUGUGUCUUUGCAAUUUGUAUUAGCUUUGCAACAUGCUAAUGUUGAACUCCACUGGUAUCUGCUGUUUCUGUUGUGGGCUGAGUUGCGCAUAUUUAGUGCAUCUGAAAUCAGUAACUUUAAAGAAGGCAGCUGCAUAGGCAAUAGGUUAUGGAACAGAACAAAUGUGUCAUUUUAUUCCACCAAUGACUAAGCGACAAAGGGGUGUGUCUUAUGAAAGGACACUAGUUUUUUUUUUUUUUUGUAUUUGUUACAUUAACAGAACAUCAGAGAACAUCAUAUUUCACGAAAAGCAACUCUAAAUGGACUCCUUUCUACUUCUAUUGACAUUGCUUUGUCUUAAAGCUGACUUCAGUGACAGUGUUCUGAUCACUCAAUGGCCGAAGUACAUAUCCAGUCUCCCAGGCUCUUCAGCUGAAAUGCACUGUUACCAGAAUGACACAAACUAUGACUACAAAUACUGGUACAGGCAAAUAAAAGGUGAAGGGCCAGUGCUUAUCGGAAGCUACAUUGUCAGCUCUGACUCUUAUGAGAAGGGUUUUGAGAAUGGCUUUAAAGUGUCAGGUAUAGAGAAAAGAAAUGGACCCUGACUGUGGAUGUUACAGAGGGGGAUUGAUGCUGUGUAUCUGUGUGCUGCCAGUUUACACAGUGAAUAAAAGACAAUAAACUAUGUGACAAAAAACUUUUUGGAUGGAAACCUGCAAUCACACCUGCCUCAACCACAAAUAAAUGAACCUUAUCUUUACAGACAAGUCAGCACCUGAGAACUCACAUAUAUAGCUGUAUUAAUGACGUUACUCCUCCUUCCCCAAAAACACUUUCACAUCAUUGAUGUGAUACAGUCAGUAGAGGGAGAUGUGACUGUAUGUUUACUGUAGAGUUUUUCCUCUCUUUUAGUUGAGUCUCAUACAUUGUAUCUUUCAUCACAUUAUUUCUGCUGUGUGCAUGACCAGAGUUUUCUAACCCUGUUUUAGAAGGAUGUCUGAAGCUGCAUAUGGACUGUGCAUAUUUUUCUUAUUGUAUAUAGGGAAUGUGAGAUGUGUGAACGUUCAACAGAACCUGACUCCAAUAUUAGCCAACAUGAACAAUAAAACAGAGAUAAAGUGUAGUUAUGAUGACAGUAGCAAGCCAGUUAUGUUAUGGUAUCAGCAAAAGGAUACAGCCAUGGUCUUAAUGGUGUUUAGCUACAGUCAUACAAGUGACCCAACCUAUGAGGAUGGAUUUGAAAAGCAGUUUAAAUUGAAAAGAACAGGUGCACUGAAUGGAGUAUUGGAAAUCUCUAAUCUCAAUGUAUCAGACUCUGCUGUUUAUUACUGUGCUGUCAGUAUGCACAGUGCUGUAGUCUUUAUUACCUGCCUGACUAAAAACCAAACCACUAAACUUACAGGAAAUACACCCAUUUGAAGGAUUCAUUAAAAUUACAUUUGGGUUUCUAUUCAAAAGACUUGUUAGCAGGGUUUCUUUUUUCUAUAUUAAGAAGAAAAUAAGAAAAAAAAUGUUUGAACUUUCAAUAUUUAAUAGAGGGCACAAUCAGAAGAUCAAAGCUUUGUUUCAAAACUUGGUAAACUGUCUAAUUUAGAGGUCUCCAACCCUGAGCCUGUAGAGCUACCUUCCUGCAGAAUUCAGCUGCAACCCUGGUCCAACACGCCUGACUUUGAUUUUCAAGGAGCCUGUCCCAAUCCCCAUACUUGAAACUUAAACUUAAAACAUCAGUUGACCAUAUUUCUACUUUCAAUUUUAUAUUUCUAUAUUGAUUAAAAAAAUAAAUAAAUAAAUCAGUCAUCAUUUACUCAUAAAUUUACUCAACCUCAUGGUCCAAAAGUUUGUG